rnacentral:rRNA from 1 species
AGAGUUUGAUCCUGGCUCAGAUUAAACGCUGGCGGCAUGCCUUACACAUGCAAGUCGAACGGCAGCACGAGAGCUUGCUCCUGGUGGCGAGUGGCGAACGGGUGAGUAAUAUAUCGGAACGUACCCUAGAGUGGGGGAUAACGUAGCGAAAGUUACGCUAAUACCGCAUACGAUCUACGGAUGAAAGUGGGGGAUCGCAAGACCUCAUGCUCAUGGAGCGGCCGAUAUCUGAUUAGCUAGUUGGUGGGGUAAAAGCUCACCAAGGCGACGAUCAGUAGCUGGUCUGAGAGGACGACCAGCCACACUGGAACUGAGACACGGUCCAGACUCCUACGGGAGGCAGCAGUGGGGAAUUUUGGACAAUGGGCGCAAGCCUGAUCCAGCAAUGCCGCGUGAGUGAAGAAGGCCUUCGGGUUGUAAAGCUCUUUUGUCAGGGAAGAAACGGUGGACUCUAAUACAGAUCACUAAUGACGGUACCUGAAGAAUAAGCACCGGCUAACUACGUGCCAGCAGCCGCGGUAAUACGUAGGGUGCAAGCGUUAAUCGGAAUUACUGGGCGUAAAGCGUGCGCAGGCGGUUGUGCAAGACAGAUGUGAAAUCCCCGGGCUCAACCUGGGAAUUGCAUUUGUGACUGCACGGCUAGAGUGUGUCAGGGGGGUAGAAUUCCACGUGUAGCAGUGAAAUGCGUAGAGAUGUGGAGGAAUACCGAUGGCGAAGGCAGCCCCCUGGGAUAACACCGACGCUCAUGCACGAAAGCGUGGGGAGCAAACAGGAUUAGAUACCCUGGUAGUCCACGCCCUAAACGAUGUCUACUAGUUGUCGGGUCUUAAUUGACUUGGUAACGCAGCUAACGCGUGAAGUAGACCGCCUGGGGAGUACGGUCGCAAGAUUAAAACUCAAAGGAAUUGACGGGGACCCGCACACGCGGUGGAUGAUGUGGAUUAAUUCGAUGCAACGCGAAAAACCUUACCUACCCUUGACAUGUCUGGAAUCCUUGAGAGAUCAGGGAGUGCUCGAAAGAGAAUCAGAACACAGGUGCUGCAUGGCUGUCGUCAGCUCGUGUCGUGAGAUGUUGGGUUAAGUCCCGCAACGAGCGCAACCCUUGUCAUUAGUUGCUACGAAAGGGCACUCUAAUGAGACUGCCGGUGACAAACCGGAGGAAGGUGGGGAUGACGUCAAGUCCUCAUGGCCCUUAUGGGUAGGGCUUCACACGUCAUACAAUGGUACAUACAGAGGGCCGCCAACCCGCGAGGGGGAGCUAAUCCCAGAAAGUGUAUCGUAGUCCGGAUUGUAGUCUGCAACUCGACUACAUGAAGUUGGAAUCGCUAGUAAUCGCGGAUCAGCAUGUCGCGGUGAAUACGUUCCCGGGUCUUGUACACACCGCCCGUCACACCAUGGGAGCGGGUUUCACCAGAAGUGGGUAGCCUAACCGCAAGGAGGGCGCUCACCACGGUGGGAUUCGUGACUGGGGUGAAGUCGUAACAAGGUA